rnacentral:rRNA from 1 species
CGGUGAACACGGUAGCUUGCUCUGUGGGAUCAGUGGCGAACGGGUGAGUAACACGUGAGCAACCUGCCCCUGACUCUGGGAUAAGCGCUGGAAACGGCGUCUAAUACUGGAUAUGUGACGUGACCGCAUGGUCUGCGUUUGGAAAGAUUUUUCGGUUGGGGAUGGGCUCGCGGCCUAUCAGCUUGUUGGUGAGGUAAUGGCUCACCAAGGCGUCGACGGGUAGCCGGCCUGAGAGGGUGACCGGCCACACUGGGACUGAGACACGGCCCAGACUCCUACGGGAGGCAGCAGUGGGGAAUAUUGCACAAUGGGCGAAAGCCUGAUGCAGCAACGCCGCGUGAGGGAUGACGGCCUUCGGGUUGUAAACCUCUUUUAGCAGGGAAGAAGCGAAAGUGACGGUACCUGCAGAAAAAGCGCCGGCUAACUACGUGCCAGCAGCCGCGGUAAUACGUAGGGCGCAAGCGUUAUCCGGAAUUAUUGGGCGUAAAGAGCUCGUAGGCGGUUUGUCGCGUCUGCUGUGAAAUCCCGAGGCUCAACCUCGGGCCUGCAGUGGGUACGGGCAGACUAGAGUGCGGUAGGGGAGAUUGGAAUUCCUGGUGUAGCGGUGGAAUGCGCAGAUAUCAGGAGGAACACCGAUGGCGAAGGCAGAUCUCUGGGCCGUAACUGACGCUGAAGAGCGAAAGGGUGGGGAGCAAACAGGCUUAGAUACCCUGGUAGUCCACCCGUAAACGUUGGGAACUAGUUGUGGGGUCCAUUCCACGGAUUCCGUGACGCAACUAACGCAUUAAGUUCCCCGCCUGGGGAGUACGGCCGCAAGGCUAAAACUCAAAGGAAUUGACGGGGACCCGCACAAGCGGCGGAGCAUGCGGAUUAAUUCGAUGCAACGCGAAGAACCUUACCAAGGCUUGACAUAUACGAGACGGGCCAGAAAUGGUCAACUCUUUGGACCCUCGUAAACAGGUGUGCAUGCUUGUCGUCAGCUCCUGUCUGAGAUGUGGGUAGUCCCGCACGAGCGGCAACCCUCGUUCAUUUUUGCAGCA